rnacentral:rRNA from 1 species
AGUGAACGCUGGCGAUAGGCCUAACACAUGCAAGUCGAACGGCAGCACAGUAAGAGCUUGCUCUUACGGGUGGCGAGUGGCGGACGGGUGAGGAAUACAUCGGAAUCUACUUUUUCGUGGGGGGUAACGUAGGGAAACUUACGCUAAUACCGCAUACGACCUACGGGUGAAAGCAGGGGAUCUUCGGACCUUGCGCGAUUGAAUGAGCCGAUGUCGGAUUAGCUAGUUGGCGGGGUAAAGGCCCACCAAGGCGACGAUCCGUAGCUGGUCUGAGAGGAUGAGCAGCCACACUGGAACUGAGACACGGUCCAGACUCCUACGGGAGGCAGCAGUGGGGAAUAUUGGACAAUGGGCGCAAGCCUGAUCCAGCCAUACCGCGUGAGUGAAGAAGGCCUUCUGGUUGUAAAGCCCUUUUGUUGGGAAAGAAAAGCAGCAGGUUAAUACCCCGCUGUUCUGACGGUACCCAAAGAAUAAGCACCGGCUAACUUCGUG